UCCACUGCCCCAGCUUCCUCCGCCUAAACGCUGGCAGUGACCGGGGCGGCCGAAGAAAAUGGCGCCCCCCCCCCAAAUCCUAGCGCCCUAGGUGACCGCCUAUGUCGCCUAAAUGGUUGCACUGGCCCUGGGUGACUCCCUCACACCAUGUGCCCCAGGACCACGCAUCGCAGGCGUGUGGCUGUCCCUGCAGGGGGGAUCCGUAGGAGGGCAGGAGUCGCUGCGUGCUCUUCUCUACUCUGUGCGCCCACACAGGAGCAGUCCGAAUCUGUCUUGCGGGGGAUCCCAGAGUACAAGGUGGUCUGAGAUCUGUUCCAGGCACCGAAUGUGUUUCUGGGAAGGUGUUAUUUUUAAACAUGUUGUCACUGCCUCCACUGAGACACUCUCUUCCCGGCUUUCUGCUCCUGGAACAGGCACUCUUCCUGCCCCCUGCUCACCCCAAAAAAACAUGUUUGAGUAAGAAAGUGUUGGAGCGAGCAUGUUUUGAAAAUUACCUUGUGUUUCAGCAGCAAUGUGGACUCCAAUCAAAGUUUUCUGAUGUCUGAGCCUCCUGAGUAUUCCACACACCUAACCAGUAAACAGUGAGCUAAUGACCUGGCCAUCCUGUUCAAACAGUUCAUUAUAGGUGUCUGGGGAAGGGUAAAAUUCUGGAGGCCCUGACACUGAAUCCCGUAAGAUCCUAAAGUUUCCGGUGUAUGGAUGCCUAGGGAUCUAAGCAUCGCUCUGGAAUCCUUCAAGGUGUGCAGCACCUCAUUGUUUUUUGCUGCAAAUAACUUCUCGCCAUCAAAGGGAAGAUCCUCCACGGUGUUUUGAAUCUUGCGUGGGAAAGAAGAAGAGGUAAAUCAUGAAGCCUGACGCAUCACUACGGCCGUCACAGUGGACCUGGCAGAUGUGUCCGCAGCAUCAAGGGCAGCCUGCAAUGCCGUGCGGGAAAUAAUCUGCCCUUCAGAGGGUAUUGCUUUAAAUUGGUGUCUCUUGUCCUCUGGGACGUCAUUAAGUCCAUGAGUUUCCUGUAAUUUCUGUGAUCAUAUUUGGCCAGUCGGGCCACAUAGUUUGCCACUCUAAAUUAUAGCGUGGUUGAUGCAUAAACUUUGUGGCCGAGUA